UGGCUCAGGACGAACGCUGGCGGCGUGCCUAAUACAUGCAAGUCGAACGAGAGCGACCGGUGCUUGCACUGGUCAAUCUAGUGGCGAACGGGUGAGUAACACGUGGGCAACCUGCCCAUCAGAGGGGGAUAACAUUCGGAAACGGAUGCUAAAACCGCAUAGGUUCUUGAGCUGCAUGGCUUGGGAAGGAAAAGAGGCUUCGGCUUCUGCUGAUGGAUGGACCCGCGGUGCAUUAGCUAGUUGGUGAGGUAACGGCUCACCAAGGCCGUGAUGCAUAGCCGACCUGAGAGGGUGAUCGGCCACAUUGGGACUGAGACACGGCCCAAACUCCUACGGGAGGCAGCAGUAGGGAAUCUUCCGCAAUGGACGCAAGUCUGACGGAGCAACGCCGCGUGAGUGAAGAAGGAUUUCGGUUCGUAAAACUCUGUUGUUAGAGAAGAACAGCGCAUAGAGUAACUGUUAUGCGUGUAACGGUAUCUAACCAGAAAGCCACGGCUAACUACGUGCCAGCAGCCGCGGUAAUACGUAGGUGGCAAGCGUUGUCCGGAUUUAUUGGGCGUAAAGCGAGCGCAGGCGGUCAAUUAAGUCUGAUGUGAAAGCCCCCGGCUCAACCGGGGAGGGUCAUUGGAAACUGGUUGACUUGAGUGCAGAAGAGGAGAGUGGAAUUCCAUGUGUAGCGGUGAAAUGCGUAGAUAUAUGGAGGACACCAGUGGCGAAGCGACUCUCUGGUCUGUAACUGACGCUGAGCUCGAAAGCGUGGGUAGCAAACAGGAUUAGAUACCU
rnacentral:rRNA from 1 species